GAAUUGAAAACGUUGCCAGCUCUAUUUUCAGUACGAAGGAAUGAACGAAGGAGUAGAUCAAAAUUUUUCCGACAAUUCAGAUAAAUUGUCGAUGUGUGCAGUCGGGAAUUCUGUCAUUUUGUUCUGGCUUUAGACCACCUCAGUUGGCUAAAUCUUCAUUGUUCCUUGUUUCAAUUAUUUUGUAUUUUCAUUUAUAACCAUUAGAAGUGAUAUUAGAUAUGCCUAGCAAGUGUUCUUUGAGUGUUCCAUCCAUAGGCGUGCAGAAUCCUGAUAUUUUUCCUUGAAGCAUAUAUUCAGUUAUAAUUAAAACUAAUCCAAAACUAAUUUAUACGACUAAUAAAUUUUUUUUAAGACUUCCAUCGAAUCAACUUGAACGAGAAAAAUGGUUGCAGAUAAUUUCUUGGAACCGAACGAUGUUGGAAAAAAAAAAUUUUUCUUUGCUCAAAUCACUUUCCUGAAGAUUGCUUCCGACUAAUGAACCUAAAAAAGAAGUUUAUUCCAGGAAGUUUGCCUUCUCGUUCUGAAAUCAAAUUGGAAAUACCUCUGAUCUACUCAUUAGGGAAUGGAAGUAUUGAAGCACAGGACUUUACAGAAUCUGAUUCUAAAACACAAUCACCACCAAAAAAAGAUUGAGAUUUGAGACUUCAGCUACUUUUAACUCUCCUUCAAAAUGUGCAUCUUCCAGCUCUAGUGGCACUAAGAACCUAAGGCUUAUCCAAGGAGGUUUGCCUUCUGAAAUUAAAUUGGAAAUAACUCUGACUUACUCAGAAGGGAAUGGAAGUAUUGAAGAACAGGACUCUACGGAAUCUCUAUAUGAUUCUAAAAUACAUUCUCCAUCAAAAAAAAAGAUUGAGAUUUGACACUCCAACUACCAAUGAUUCAGAAGAAACACUGACUUUAACCUCUCCUUCAAAAUGUGCAUCAUUUAGCUCUAGUGCCACUUUCUCUAGGAAACGAAGAAUAUCCAAAAUGAAGUCGAGACGGUUUUUCUCAAAUCCCCGCUAUACUGGAAACUAUUCACAUCGUCAUUUGGAAGACCCUAUGCUGCGAAAGAAAUACUUUAGAUUGUCUCGAAGAAUCCUGUCCAAUUUCAAGGUCAAAAAUAAAAUAUUGUGUGUGUCCAUCCUGAAGUCAAACAGCAGUCAAAAUUACAGUUGAGAAAAACCUUGGGGUAUCUUACCAAUGCCUCUCAAUUUGUAGUUGAUAUCUGUACCCAGGCUGAAAAGACAUUUAAGUGGACAGAAAAAAUUUUUUAAUAUAUUCGAAAAAAAUUAUUCGAACUUGUUAUCCCAUUUGGUUCUCACUACAUUGAAUAGUGUUGAUCCAAAAUUGUUCAAUGUUUUCAAUCAGCAUCUGUUUGAUGAUGAACCAGAGACAAUCCAUGGUCCUGUUAUAACGAAAAUGAUUCUAAAUGAUUCUGGAAACUUAUUUCAAUUUGAGGAUUCACCACGAAUUGAGAAAUCGACAGAGUGCAAAAUUAAAUUUGAAUAGGUUGAGAAGCAGGUUGACGAAAACUAUAUUCGAAAAUCAAUAGAUUUUUCUAAUAUUUAAAACCAAUAAUUUUAUUUAUACUGCAUUUCUGUGAUAAAUUUAUCCUGUUGUUUUAUUGAACCAAUAGAUUUUUCUAAUAAUAUUUGUAAACCAAUAUUUUAUAUUUAU